rnacentral:sRNA from 1 species
CACAACUGCCCUUCCAUCUGUCUUUGGAGCAAUAUCCAGAAAUCUACAUUUCUUACCCCCUCUUUCCCACCAGGUGGCGCCCUUUGUUUAUCGACAUCUGUCCAUUUCCUUUUUUUUUUCCAAAGAUGCUUCCAGAUAAAUAGCUCCAGAGCUAAAAUACUGUUGCAAACACAAAAAUUUAACACACUGAGAUAAAAAGAAACCUAAAGCUUUUCAGGCAUUGGUAUAAUAAACCUUGCUUCAAGACUCCUAUAGCUACUAGAUUUAAUAGCUCACACAUUUUCCUAUUUACAACUCCAUAUCCAAAUAGCUGUUGUGCGUGCCAUAAACAGUGUCCCAGCAAGUCUGCUUUACACAGCACUAUCAUUUUUAUACUUGUAAAUGUUUGGCACCUGCACUCAAAAGGAAAAAAAAAUCAAAUUUCUGCUCUAGUAUUUUUUUUCUUUCCAGUCUUAAAAGCCUAAACCUCAUAGAGAGGAAAAUGUUUUUCGUUAGACAAAAGAGAGUGGUGGAGCGGCUGUCAGUAGGAGAGGGUCAACUUUUCUUCCAGUCAAGUUCUCUCUUCAGUUGGCAAUCUAGUUAGGGGGAGUCUGAGACCAUCGUGGCUUUGGGCCUGUUGAACAGCGAAUCUGAGCUAAAUGCUACUGGCUAAGGUAUUUGAUUUCAAAAUUGCAUUUUUAAGACAUUAAUCGAGACAUAAACAAAAGGCAAUGAUAUCUUGUUUUAAAUUAGAACCACAAUUGUGUGAACAAUUGCGGAAUGAGUUUACCUAAGCUAGCUUACCAAUGGACAACCUUGAUCUGCAAAGAUCACUGAUUCACAAUGAAAUACUCCCAUCCUCUGUGCUGCCCCUGCCUUGGGUCCUUUUCUUAAGGGUGAUGAUGAACUGUGAGGCAAGAAGGUCUAUUAAUGACAGACUCGUUUGGUAUGACAGAGUUCCAUUUCUCACUGACUCUAGGUUUCUGUUGCAUUUUUAAAAUUUUUUUUCCUUACAGGAAUUUGGCUUUCCUUGUGCUCAACAUCUUUGAAUUUUGCUAAUGCAUCCGCUAAGCAAUUCCUUGGGGAUGUAGCGAGGAACUAACCAACUGCACAUGGGAAAUGUGGUCUUGGCUGGAAAAGCUGCAGCCUCUGCUAAUUUUCCACUCAGAGCAGAAGUCAUGAGUGACUUUUUUGUUGUUUCGAGCAUAAUGACUUCAGCUUGGUGCUUUGUGGUAGGGAUCAAGUUUGGACCUAUGAACCUCCUUUAGGAGUCCCACAAAAUUUAAUUUGACUUCUUUCUAUAAACAUUUUUACUGUUUUCAAGUACAUAAUAAACAGGGUAAAGCAAAAAAAAAAAAAAACAAAAAAAAACCCAACUUUCUGUUCACUUGCAGACAGAAUUAUAAAAGGCUACUGUCUGCAGAUGAGAAAUAGCCCCGUUAGACCCACCAGCAGGUUACGUAAUGUGUGCUGUAGACCACCAGGGGCUGAUCUGAAAACACUAAUACCUUUUUCACGGAACCAUUAGCUAGAGUGAAACACAGCGUCAGAGUGAAAAGAUAGGCGAUUGACCCAACCGCCUGCAUUUGUGAGCCUUUGUUUUCAUUCUUGGCACUCAAAUCAAAAGCUAGCGCCCAAUCGUAUGAUUUAAAUGCGUUACCUGACAUUGUUUUUCAUCUCUCCGAGCAUGGAUGUAUUAUUUUGUGACGCUAUCUGAAGCUGACUGUCAGUGAACAACGCUUUCAGGAGAGAUGUGGUUUAAAGGCAAAGACAACAGGAAACAGUAAAGAUGGCAACACCGUGACAAUAAUUUUCGAAUGUAUCCUUUCCCUCGGUGUUCAAAGGGUGAGUUCCACAGGCUUCAGAGGAAACCGCUGUACCAUUAAACUCAGUGCUGACGAAAACAGCUACCCGUCCACCAGAGUGGGGACCCCUCUUCAUUUCAUAAAUCUUUCCCAAAUACGCCAAAGCUAGGAACCGACUGUCUGUCACAUCAAUGGCCCAAAGUCUGGGUACGUCAGAGCAUCGUGUUCAAAGGGAUCAGGAGUAUCUGUCUGACAACAACUUGGGGAGCAAGGAGGCAAUUAUAACUGACAUCCAGAUGUCUGGCUGGGUGGAUGCUACUACCCUGUAGAAUGCCAAAGGCCCGGAGAAAUUUACAACUGCGCAGUGAGUCCCAGACCUGACAGACAGAUCAACGGUAGUGUCACAAACCAUCAGCGGGAACCAAAAAAGUUGCCUGAGCUGAUAAAGACUUCAAAUGUCAAGAGUUGCAACAAAGUUCCUUCUUCCCACAUCUUCCAUCAGCCAGCCAGCCCCGCCUCCUCACAAACAAGCUUGUUAGUGGUUGAGGGCCCAGCAGGAAAUGUUUUGACACCCAGUGCCAAACAUCAAUCCAUCACUGGAACCCUUAAUACGCUUAAGUGUUUAGAUUAUGUGGGCAAGUGGGAUUCCAAUAGAAACCCCCCCUUGAUUGUGGAAUAUGGAGAUGCUAUCAUUUGACUAAGUCUGCACUACCUAUAUUGUUCGUCCUUCUUAAUCAAAGAGGAUCCUAAAGGAAGGUAUUAAGACUCAAAUAUAAAGGAAAUUGGUUUAAUUAUGAUUAAAGCAGUACUCAACAUGGAACUGUUUUUCUUUACUUGUGAACGUUAGAAAAUAGUUAAGUGUUCUCGGUAAAAGCAUAUGUGCAUAUAUGUGACUGUAUGAAAAUAUACAUAAGUAAACGUAUAUGAAUGUAUACAAUGCAUAUAAUUUCUUGACCUCUCUAAGCCCCACCUUCCUUCAUUUUUGCAGUUACCACAUUUUCUUGAAAUUCUUUUCCUUUGUAUUUGACUAGUGUUUGUGACCUGUGAGCUCACAGAAAUAUCAAGCCAGCCUCAUCUAAAUAUUCAUUAACAGUCCAGAAGAAUCUCAGCCCACGUGUCUCGUCUGAAGCCACUUGAAAUUUUAAUAAAUGAAUUUUAUAGAACCAGAUAUUCAUCAAAAUAAAACUAUAUUUGAUGAGUUUAGUCUGUUAGUGAGAUUUCGUGAACUUUCUUAGUACCUGAAAACAACUUCUCUAUUUCCUUCCACCAUCACCUUUUGAGUAACUAAAAUUUAUGUUCUUUUAGACACCUUCUUAUAAAUGAAGUUUUUAGAGUGGUGCUUGGCCUUCCUAUUUCAAAUGCAUCUCCUUUGUUGUGGCAUCCCUGUGUAGGGCCUUGUAUUUAAUGCUAUAGCUUUAAGUUCCAAACCCAUUUGGAGGUCUCGGCUUUCUCUGGGAAAUAUCAUAACCAGAGGUCCUCUCAAAGUGGCCGCUGUGAACACAGGGUCCUUCCCGCACAGUCGAGUGGACUCUGCUCCCUCCAGUUGCCUUCUCAGACACUGCCUCACAGGGACAUAUGUAACAAGUCUCCAAACAGAAGCCUCCUGAUGAUGCCCUUUCCUGGAAACAACAGUUCCAGAAAAUAUGCUGACCAGGAAGAAACAGCAGGGGCGAGAGACGCGGCCAAGGCACUGGAAACAUCUUAACAAGCACUAAUUAAAUGUCCGUGCUUAAGAAAUAUGGCUUAAGAAAGCCAAAUACAAUAACUCCUUACAGACGGCUUUAGGGAUUAACAAGACCAGAAGGAAGCAGCGCAUUAAGAUUAGUGCCCCCAAAGUCUCUUAGACCCAUUAGU